AACGAACGCUGGCGGCAGGCCUAACACAUGCAAGUCGAGCGAAGCCUUCGGGCUUAGCGGCGGACGGGUGAGUAACGCGUGGGAACGUGCCCUUUGGUACGGAAUAGCCCCGGGAAACUGGGAGUAAUACCGUAUGUGGUCGAGAGACGAAAGAUUUAUCGCCAAAGGAUCGGCCCGCGUUGGAUUAGGUGGUUGGUGGGGUAAUGGCCUACUAAGCCGACGAUCCAUAGCUGGUUUGAGAGGAUGAUCAGCCACAAGGGGACUGAGACACGGCACAGACUCCUAAGGGAGGGAGCAGUGGGGAAUCUUAUACAAUGGGGGAAACCCUGAUCUAGCCAUGCCGCGUGAUCGAUGAAGGCCUUAGGGUUGUAAAGAUCUUUCAGUGGGGAAGAUAAUGACUGUCCCCACAGAAGAAGCCCCGGCUAACUCCGUGCCAGCCGCCGCCGUAAUAC
rnacentral:rRNA from 1 species